rnacentral:rRNA from 1 species
GCUCAACCGAGGAAGUGCUUCGAAAACUGGUAAACUUGAGUGCAGAAGAGGAAAGUGGAACUCCAUGUGUAGCGGUGGAAUGCGUAGAUAUAUGGAAGAACACCAGUGGCGAAGGCGGCUUUCUGGUCUGUAACUGACGCUGAGAUUCGAAAGCAUGGGUAGCAAACAGGAUUAGAUACCCUGGUAGUCCAUGCCGUAAACGAUGAGUGCUAAGUGUUGGAGGGUUUCCGUCCUUCAGUGCUGCAGCUAACGCAUUAAGCACUCCGCCUGGGGAGUACGAUCGCAAGAUUGAAACUCAAAGGAAUUGACGGGGGCCCGCACAAGCGGUGGAGUAUGUGGUUUAAUUCGAAGCAACGCGAAGAACCUUACCAAAUCUUGACAUCCUUUGAAAACUCUAGAGAUAGAGCCUUCCCCUUCGGGGGACAAAGUGACAGGUGGUGCAUGGUUGUCGUCAGCUCGUGUCGUGAGAUGUUGGGUUAAGUCCCGCAACGAGCGCAACCCUUAAGCUUAGUUGCCAUCAUUAAGUUGGGCACUCUAGGUUGACUGCCGGUGACAAACCGGAGGAAGGUGGGGAUGACGUCAAAUCAUCAUGCCCCUUAUGAUUUGGGCUACACACGUGCUACAAUGGACAAUACAAAG